AACGAACGCUGGCGGCGUGCCUAAUACAUGCAAGUCGAGCGCAGGAAACCGUCUGAACCCUUCGGGGGGAUGACGGCGGAAUGAGCGGCGGACGGGUGAGUAACACGUAAAGAACCUGCCCACGGGUCUGGGAUAACCACGAGAAAUCGGGGCUAAUACCGGACGGGUCAUCGGACCGCAUGGUCCGAGGAUGAAAGGCGCUCCGGCGUCGCCCGUGGAUGGCUUUGCGGUGCAUUAGCUAGUUGGUGGGGUAACGGCCCACCAAGGCGACGAGGCAUGGCCGACCUGGGGGGGUGAGCGGACACACUGAGACUGAGACACGGCCCAGACGCCUACGGGAGGCAGCAGUAGGGAAGCUUCCACAAUGGACGAAAGUCUGAUGGAGCAACGCCGCGUGAACGAUGAAGGCCCUCGGGUCGUAAAGUUCUGUUGUAAGGGAAGAACAAGUGCCGCAGGCAAUGGCGGCACCUUGACGGUACCUUGCGAGAAAGCCACGGCUAACUACGUGCCAGCCGCCGCGGUAACAC
rnacentral:rRNA from 1 species